GAUGAACGCUGGCGGCGUGCCUAAUACAUGCAAGUCGAGCGAACAGACGAGGAGCUUGCUCCUCUGACGUUAGCGGCGGACGGGUGAGUAACACGUGGAUAACCUACCUAUAAGACUGGGAUAACUUCGGGAAACCGGAGCUAAUACCGGAUAAUAUAUUGAACCGCAUGGUUCAAUAGUGAAAGACGGUUUUGCUGUCACUUAUAGAUGGAUCCGCGCCGCAUUAGCUAGUUGGUAAGGUAACGGCUUACCAAGGCAACGAUGCGUAGCCGACCUGAGAGGGUGAUCGGCCACACUGGAACUGAGACACGGUCCAGACUCCUACGGGAGGCGGCGGUAGGAAAUCUUCCGCAAAGGGCGAAAGCUUGACGGAGCAACGCCGCGUGAGUGAUGAAGGUCUUCGGAUCAUAAAACUCUGUUAUUAGGGAAGAACAAAUGUGUAAGUAACUAUGCACGUCUUGACGGUACCUAAUCAGAAAGCCACGGCUAACUACGUG
rnacentral:rRNA from 1 species